CUUACGUAGUAAACCAAGAAAUGGAUAACUCGCUAAAAUGGUUCUUUUCAACAUAGUAAGCGGUCAAAUAACAAGUGAUACUCUGUGGAAGUAAGGUUGCGAAGACUCAAUUUGGCUUUGGUACCUUUAUUUCAGCGACAUACUUAGUCCCAGCGACUUGCAAUACAUGCAAAGCUGUUUGUUGGAAAUAACUGCUGCGGCGACUAAUCGCCUGGUGACUUGAAUUGGUAGUUCGUCCGUACAUUGAUUUAUGAAUACAGCUCCUCGUGCUCUCAGUAAAAAUUCUCAUCCAGCGCUUAUCAACUCUCACUGUGCGCUCACCACGACAUCUUCGUAUUUAGGCGGUGGACAAUAAAACAAGGAACUGUAUGAUGGUGGAGGCAUUUCCAUACUGUACGAGUCUUGGUCGCUUGUUAUAGCUUGAUUUGUGCUUCCGCGAACCAGUGUACCAUUGUAAGGAGAGGAAAUAAUUCUUAUGGCGCUAUUUGAGUUUGGAGGCAUCCAGUCCUCAAUUCGGCGAUCUUGUUGUCCAUUAGAGAAUUCCUCCACAUCAGUCGAUGAAGAAAUUGUUCCUUGAUUAUUGGUGUUACUGUCGAACUCGCUGUUUCGUCGAUACGUUCCAGAUUCGACACUGUUUUGUUUACUUUUCAAACAACUGAAGAGACGCUUACGAAAAAAGCAUGCCAUGAUCACUAACGCCGCCAGCAACAAGCCAAUGGGAACAGGCCAGAUUGAGUUAAAGAUCGAAGAGAGUCGCAUAAAGCUUCGAUUGCACUGUGUUUGUGCUUUUGUAAGUAGUUCAAACCUCCUCUGACACCGCUACAAAGCGAGACAGGAAGAGGAACAACUUAGGCAAGCUUCGUGGAAAAAUCUGACGAUUAUUCCAAAGAACCAACUCAGUGAACAAUGCGACCUUCCUGUUUUGGUGAUCUCUAAAAGGAACUGUAUUGACCCCGUUUAAACGACAACAGAUAUUUCCUAUUUUGGGGCUGAUUGCUACAUUCAUACUUAUUUAAUUGUUAUAAAUGACGACAACUGGUUCUUGGAAUAUCUCCAAGUGCGUCCAAACGCACCAGCUGUUCCAAUUCAGUCGCAAUAUCACAUUCAAGCCACGUGGGUUUAUGAUAAACAGCCAUUUUUUUAAACAGCCAAAAUUAAUGUUACAUCCACAGAGUAGUUUAAAGUUUAUCAAGCUUAAAGUAUCGUGUGUCUUUCCAUUAUUCAGUAGCUGCCUACAUUUUCUUUGCUCACAUCGGUUCAGCUUGGAUCCCAUUUGUUCUGAUUCGCUUCAGUUAGUUGAUAAUAAAAACAAAAAAAUUAAUUUGACAACUGACUGACGGUGCAAUAUUGCGCGUUGAGAUGUAUUGUAGCGGCACAGAAUCCACUUAAAAUCAAAGUAGUCAAUUUAGCGGCUACCACGAGAUUUUGAAACCAAGAAUCGGAGCUAAAAAGCAUUUUGAUCAGCCUUGUUUGUAAAGGACAUGGUAAAUUCUUUUUGGAGUCUAUAACGUUCUUGUUUUCGUGUUCUUCACCAAAGUUCGAUCAAUAACUUGGAACUAAAAGCACCAUCCGGUGGUUCUA